rnacentral:rRNA from 1 species
UACGUAGGUGGCAAGCGUUAUCCGGAAUUACUGGGCGUAAAGCGCACGCAGGCGGUCUUUUAAGUUUGACGUGAAAGCUCCCGGCUUAACUGGGAGAGGUCGUUGAAUACUGGGAGACUUGAGGCAAUGAGAGGGGUGUAGAAUUCCUGGUGUAGUGGUGGAAUGCGUAGAUAUCAGGAGGAAUACCAGUGGCGAAAGCGGCACCCUAGCGUUGUUCUGACGCUCAUGUGCGAAAGCGUGGGGAGCAAACGGG